GAUGAACGCUAGCGGCAGGCCUAAUACAUGCAAGUCGUACGGCAACACAGUUGCGAGCAAUCGCAACCGGUGGCGAGUGGCGCACGGGUGAGUAACGCGUAUGUAACCUACCCUUCUCCGGGACAUAACUCCGCGAAAGCGGUGCUAAUAUCCCAUACCAACUCAUCAAGACAUCUUCUUGAGUUGAAAGCAGCAAUGCGGUGAAGGAUGGGCAUGCGUCCCAUUAGCUGGUUGGUGAGGUAAUGGCCCACCAAGGCUACGAUGGGUAGGGUUCUUAGAGGAAAGCCCCCCACACUGGUACUGAGACACGGACCAGACUCCUACGGGAGGCAGCAGUAAGGAAUAUUGGGCAAUGGUCGAAAGACUGACCCAGCCAUGCCGCGUGCAGGAUGAAGGCCCUAUGGGUUGUAAACUGCUUUUAGCCGGGAAUAAACACCCGUUUUAUAACGGGCCCGAAGGUACCGGCUGAAUAAGCAUCGGCUAACUCCGUG
rnacentral:rRNA from 1 species